AUGGUGCUGUACUCAAUAUGCCAACAAAUUUGGAAAACUCAGCAGUGGCCACAGGACUGGAAAAGGUCAGUUUUCAUUCCAAUCCCAAAGAAAGGCAAUGCCAAAGAAUGCUCAAACUACUGCACAAUUGCACUCAUCUCACACACUAGUAAAGUAAUGCUCAAAAUUCUCCAAGCCAGGCUUAAGCAAUACGUGAACCAUGAACUUUCAGAUGUUCAAGCUGGUUUUAGAAAAGGCAGAGGAACCAGAGGUCAAAUUGCCAACAUCCACUGGAUCAUGGAAAAAGCAAGAGAGUUCCAGAAAAACAUUGUUUCUGCUUUAUUGACUAUGCCAAAGCCUUUGACUGUGUGGAUCACAAUAAACUGGAAAAUUCUGAGAGAGAUGGGAAUACCAGACCACCUGACCUGCCUCUUGAGAAACCUAUAUGCAGGUCAGGAAGCAACAGUUAGAACUGGACAUGGAACAACAGACCGGGUCCAAAUAGGAAAAGGAGUACAUCAAAGCUGUAUAUUGUCACCCUGCUUAUUUAACUUAUCUGCAGAGUAUGUCAUGAGAAACGCUGGGCUGGAAGAAGCACAAGCUGGAAUCAAUAUUGCCGGGAGAAAUAUCAGUAACCUCAGACAUGCAGAUGACACCACCCUUAUGACAGAAAGUGAAGAGGAACUAAAAAGCCUCUUGAUGAAAGUGAAAGAGGAGAGUGAAAAAGUUGGCUUAAAGCUCAACAUUCAGAAAAUGAAGAUCAUGACAUCUGGUCCCAUCAGUUCAUGGGAAAUAGAUGGGGAAACAGUAUCAGACUUUAUUUUUUUGGGCUCCAAAAUCACUGCAGAUGGUGAUUGCAGCCAUGAAAUUAAAAGACGCUUACUCCUUGGAAGAAAAGUUAUGACCAACCUAGAUAGCAUAUUCAAAAUCAGAGACAUUACUUUGCCAACAAACGUCCAUCUAGUCAAGGCUAUGGUUUUUCCUGUGGUCAUGUAUGGAUGUGAGAGUUGGACUGUGAAGAAAGCUGAGCACCAAAGAAUUGAUGCUUUUGAACUGUGGUGUUGGAGAAGACUCUUGAGAGUCCCUUGGACUGCAAGGAGAUCCAACCAGUCCAUCCUAAAGGAGAUCAGUCCUGGGUGUUCAUUGGAAGGACUGAUGCUAAAGCUGAAACUCCAGUACUUUGGCCACCUCAUGCGAAGAGUUGACUCAUUGGAAGAGACUCUGAUGCUGGGAGGGAUUGGGGGCAGGAGGAGAAGGGGAUGA
rnacentral:lncRNA from 1 species